UACGUAGGGUGCAAGCGUUAAUCGGAAUUACUGGGCGUAAAGCGUGCGCAGGCGGUUUUGUAAGUCUGACGUGAAAUCCCCGGGCUUAACCUGGGAAUUGCGUUGGAGACUGCAAGGCUGGAGUCUGGCAGAGGGGGGUAGAAUUCCACGUGUAGCAGUGAAAUGCGUAGAGAUGUGGAGGAACACCGAUGGCGAAGGCAGCCUCCUGGGCCAGCACUGACGCUCAUGCACGAAAGCGUGGGGAGCAAACAGG
rnacentral:rRNA from 1 species